rnacentral:rRNA from 1 species
AUUGAACGCUGGCGGCAUGCCUAACACAUGCAAGUCGAACGGCAGCGCGGGGGCAACCCUGGCGGCGAGUGGCGGACGGGUGAGGAAUGCAUAGGAAUCUGCCCGGUUGUGGGGGAUAACGUAGGGAAACUUACGCUAAUACCGCAUACGACCUUCGGGUGAAAGUGGGGGACCUUCGGGCCUCACGCGAUCGGAUGAGCCUAUGCCCGAUUAGCUAGUUGGCGGGGUAAGAGCCCACCAAGGCGACGAUCGGUAGCUGGUCUGAGAGGAUGAUCAGCCACACUGGGACUGAGACACGGCCCAGACUCCUACGGGAGGCAGCAGUGGGGAAUAUUGGACAAUGGGCGCAAGCCUGAUCCAGCAAUGCCGCGUGUGUGAAGAAGGCCUUCGGGUUGUAAAGCACUUUUGUUCGGGAAGAAAUCCGUGUGGUUAAUACCCGUACGGGAUGACGGUACCGAAAGAAUAAUCACCGGCUAACUUCGUG